CAGCCGCCACGGUAAUACAGAGGGUGCGAGCGUUAAUCGGAUUUACUGGGCGUAAAGCGUGCGUAGGCGGCUUCUUAAGUCGGAUGUGAAAUCCCUGAGCUUAACUUAGGAAUUGCAUUCGAUACUGGGAAGCUAGAGUAUGGGAGAGGAUGGUAGAAUUCCAGGUGUAGCGGUGAAAUGCGUAGAGAUCUGGAGGAAUACCGAUGGCGAAGGCAGCCAUCUGGCCUAAUACUGACGCUGAGGUACGAAAGCAUGGGGAGCAAACAGGAUUAGAUACCCCAGUAGUCCCUGUCUCUUUACA
rnacentral:rRNA from 1 species